GAUGAAGAACGCAGCGAAAUGCGAUACGUAAUGUGAAUUGCAGAAUUCAGUGAAUCAUCGAGUCUUUGAACGCACAUUGCGCCCCCUGGUAUUCCGGGGGGCAUGCCUGUCCGAGCGUCAUUGCUGCCCUCAAGCACGGCUUGUGUGUUGGGCCUCCGUCCUCCUCCCGGGGGACGGGCCCGAAAGGCAGCGGCGGCACCGCGUCCGGUCCUCGAGCGUAUGGGGCUUCGUCACCCGCUCUUGUAGGCCCGGCCGGCGCUUGCCGACACAUCAAUCUUUUUUCCAGGUUGACCUCGGAUCAGGUAGGCAUACCCGCUGAACUUAAGCAUAUCAAUAAGCGGAGGA
rnacentral:misc_RNA from 1 species